GCGGGCGUGGUGUAACGGUUGCACGAGACCCUUCCAAGGUCUGAGUGCCGGUUCAAUUCCGGUCGCCCGCU
rnacentral:tRNA from 1 species